rnacentral:rRNA from 1 species
UACAGAGGUCUCGAGCGUUAGGCGGAAUCACUGGGCUUAAAGCGUGUGUAGGCGGACUUCUAAGUACCUUGUGAAAUCCCACGGCUUACCCGUGGAACUGCUCGGUAUACUGGUUGUCUUGAGCCACCUAGGGGCGAGUGGAACAAAUGGUGGGGCGGUGAAAUGCGUAGAUAUCAUUUGGAACGCCAAUGGUGAAAACAACUCGCUGGGGGUGUGCUGACGCUGAGACACGAAAGCCAGGGGAGCGAACGGG